rnacentral:misc_RNA from 1 species
GAUGAAGAACGUAGCGAAAUGCGAUAAGUAAUGUGAAUUGCAGAAUUCAGUGAAUCAUCGAAUCUUUGAACGCACCUUGCGCUCCUUGGUAUUCCGAGGAGCAUGCCUGUUCGAGCGUCAUUUGUACCUUCAAGCUCUGCUUGGUGUUGGGUGUUUGUCUCGCCUCUGCGUGUAGACUCGCCUCAAAAUAAUUGGCAGCCGGCGUAUUGAUUUCGGAGCGCAGUACAUCUCGCGCUUUGCACUCAUAACGACGACGUCCAAAAGUACAUUUUUACACUCUUGACCUCGGAUCAGGUAGGGAUACCCGCUGAACUUAAGCAUAUCAAUAAGCGGAGGA